AUUUUUCUUUCAGGAUGAAGGACGUAGUGGCAGGGAUUGCAUUUAUAGCAGAUGGAAAAACUGGGAUGUUGAAUGUGCGCAUGGAGCGCGUAGCAGCCAUAUCCUUCAAACGAAGGACUGAAAAAGGCGGCAGGUUUAACCUGUCGCCUUUUUUAUUUGUCUGCUU
rnacentral:sRNA from 1 species